UGGCUCAGAGGUUAAAGCAUCUGCCUCCAGUGCAGGAGACCCAGGUUCCAUCCCUGG
rnacentral:tRNA from 1 species